GACAGAGGGUGCAAACGUUGUUCGGAAUUACUGGGCGUAAAGCGCGUGUAGGCGGCUCUUCAAGUCAGGCGUGAAAGCCCCGGGCUCAACUCGGGAACUGCGCUUGAUACUGUCGAGCUAGAGUGUGGAAGGGGCGAUUGGAAUUCCGUGUGUAGCGGUGAAAUGCGUAGAUAUACGGAGGAACACCAGAGGCGAAGGCGGAUCGCUGGGCCAACACUGACGCUGAGACGCGAAAGCUAGGGUAGCAAACAGG
rnacentral:rRNA from 1 species